rnacentral:rRNA from 1 species
UACGGAGGGAGCAAGCGUUACUCGGAAUUAUUGGGCGUAAAGGGCGCGUAGGCGAUUUAACAAGUCUUGUGUGAAAGCCCCGGGCUUAACUCGGGAAGUGCACAAGAAACUGUUGAAUUUGAGUUCCGGAGAGGAAGGCAGAAUUCCCGGUGUAGCGGUGAAAUGCGUAGAUAUUGGGAAGAACACCGGUGGCGAAGGCGGCCAACUGGACCACAACUGACGCUGAGGCGCGAAAGCGUGGGGAGCAAACAGG